AAGCGUGCGCAGGCGGUUUUGUAAGACUGUCGUGAAAUCCCCGGGCUCAACCUGGGAAUGGCGAUGGUGACUGCAAGGCUAGAGUUUGGCAGAGGGGGGUAGAAUUCCACGUGUAGCAGUGAAAUGCGUAGAUAUGUGGAGGAACACCGAUGGCGAAGGCAGUCCCCCUGGGUCAAAACUGACGCUCAUGCACGAAAGCGUGGGGAGCAAACAGGAUUAGAUACCCUUGU
rnacentral:rRNA from 1 species